UACGAAGGGGGCUAGCGUUGCUCGGAAUUACUGGGCGUAAAGGGAGCGUAGGCGGACUGUUAAGUUAGAGGCGAAAGCCCAGGGCUCAACCUUGGAAUUGCCUUUGAUACUGGCAGUCUUGAGUACGGAAGAGGUAUGUGGAACUCCGAGUGUAGAGGUGAAAUUCGUAGAUAUUCGGAAGAACACCAGUGGCGAAGGCGACAUACUGGUCCGUUACUGACGCUGAGGCUCGAAAGCGUGGGGAGCAAACAGG
rnacentral:rRNA from 1 species